GCACCACAAACCGAUCUGGAAUCUUCUCGAUGAUAGAUUUGAGUAGGAGCGUACCUGUUGGGACCCGAAAGAUGGUGAACUAUGCCUGAAUAGGGUGAAGCCAGAGGAAACUCUGGUGGAGGCUCGUAGCGAUACUGACGUGCAAAUCGUUCGUCAAAUUUGGGUAUAGGGGCGAAAGAC
rnacentral:rRNA from 1 species